UUUCCGGAGGUGGAAGAGAAAUGGCUCCUUAGACCCUUGCUGGGGAUAGUUACUGAAAGGGGCACUUUUUUCUUUUACAGCCCAUAAAGAGCGCUUUCCCAGAUGUGGUCUCCCUGUGUUGCCCAGGCUGCUCUGGAACUCCUGGGGGAAAGUGAUCCUCCUGCCUAGGCCUUCCAAAGUGUUGUGAUUACAAACGUGAGCUACCUGCCUGGCCAAGGAUCUGGAAUUUUUGUUGUUAACACUCCAGGAGGAAACCUGGCUGAGGAUAAUGACUGAGAUUACUUAUUGUAAGAGAAGGCUGCUGAAGUUUAGAAAAACACACCUAUCCACCAUCAGGCGGGCCACUGGCUUCACAUUCUUCUUUUAUCUAAAAAACAAGGCAGACUCCCUGUGGCUCAAAAGCUAAAAGCAGAACCAAGAGGCCAUAGCAGAGUGAGGGAGUGAUCAUGCACUCUGUAUCUGUCAAAACUAUUGUAAAACCAGUUUUUCUGCAAUCAAGUCAAAGAACAGUUCCUGAAAACAAUGUCAAAAACAACUACAGCUGGAAAUUCCCCAACUGACCACCAAUAGGUUACCUGGUGCCAGCCAAUUACCUGGAAUCAGCCAACUAAGAGAGACUGGUUAUUUGGGAGAUCAAAGGUUUUCCAAUCAAGACUGUGUUCCUCACUCCCUGACUCCUCUUCUGGCCUGCAAUCUUCAUCUUUAUGAUAUAUAACUCUCCAAUCCCCUCCUUAGAGUGCACUUUUGUUUUGCACUGAAGGCUGUCUCCUCAAUCUGCAGGUUGCUUUUAGAAAAUAAAGUUCUCCUUUUGCCUCCACAA